rnacentral:rRNA from 1 species
UCUUGCAUUACGCCCAGCGGGCGGAAUUUCUUCUCUGAGUUGCACAAGCAAAAACAAAUGAAUCAAAACUUUCAACAACGGAUCUCUUGGUUCUGGCAUCGAUGAAGAACGCAGCGAAAUGCGA